rnacentral:sRNA from 1 species
GACUCGAGCGUCAGCGAGAGAACGUUGCCGCAGGCAACGGCCCGAAGGGCGAGGCGCUUUAGCGCCGAGUAAUCCUUCCCCCACCACCA